GGGGAUGUAGCUCAAUUGGCAGAGCACUGCCUUUGCAAGGCAGGGGUUAGGGGUUCGAUUCCCCUCAUCUCCA
rfam:Actinokineospora spheciospongiae strain EG49 contig1264_1, whole genome shotgun sequence.